rnacentral:lncRNA from 1 species
AAGCAUCAUGUAAGUCAAGAUUGCAAGCCAAGAAAGAUAACUGGCUCUCUCCACUAUGUAGCAAACUUCUGUUUCGACUGAAGACAAAAAUAGUUCAUAGUUGCAUACCUUGAGAUCUACACGGUUGAUGUUGUCCACAUACACUAGAUUAUCAAAACUGCAGCUGCAUGCGUCAGAAAGAUUAUACAUACAAUAUGAAAGAUUCCGUAGUAGCUGAAAGUCCGAGGGCAUCAUCUAAUUGCCACAUCCAAUGCCAAAGUGGAGAUUCCGUAGUAGCUGAAAGUCCAAGGGCAUCA